UGGUUAGAUUAGUAGAUUCUGGUGUUUGAUAACAGAUGGAUGGUGCUGUGCUGGUUAGAUUAGUAGGUUCUGGGGUUUGAUAACAGAUGGAUGGUGCUGUGCUGGUUAGAUUAGUAGGUUCUGGGGUUUGAUAACAGAUGGAUGGUGCUGUGCUGGUUAGAUUAGUAGAUUCUGGGGUUUGAUAACAGAUGGAUGGUGCUGUGCUGGUUAGAUUAGUAGGUUCUGGGGUUUGAUAACAGAUGGAUGGAGCUGUGUUGGUUAGAAUAGUAGGUUCUGGGGUUUGAUAACAGAUGGAUGGUGCUGUGCUGGUUAGAUUAGUAGAUUCUGGUGUUUGAUAACAGAUGGAUGGAGCUGUGCUGGUUAGAUUAGUAGGUUCUGGGGUAUGAUAACAGAUGGAUGGUGCUGUGCUGGUUAGAUUAGAAGGUUCUGGGGUUUGAUAACAGAUGGAUGGUGCUG